AUUGAACGCUGGCGGCAUGCCUUACACAUGCAAGUCGAACGGCAGCACGGGUGCUUGCACCUGGUGGCGAGUGGCGAACGGGUGAGUAAUACAUCGGAACAUGUCCUGUAGUGGGGGAUAGCCCGGCGAAAGCCGGAUUAAUACCGCAUACGAUCCACGGAUGAAAGCGGGGGACCUUCGGGCCUCGCGCUAUAGGGUUGGCCGAUGGCUGAUUAGCUAGUUGGUGGGGUAAAGGCCUACCAAGGCGACGAUCAGUAGCUGGUCUGAGAGGACGACCAGCCACACUGGGGCUGAGACACGGCCCAGACUCCUACGGGAGGCAGCAGUGGGGAAUUUUGGACAAUGGGCGAAAGCCUGAUCCAGCAAUGCCGCGUGUGUGAAGAAGGCCUUCGGGUUGUAAAGCACUUUUGUCCGGAAAGAAAUCCUUGGCUCUAAUACAGUCGGGGGAUGACGGUACCGGAAGAAUAAGCACCGGCUAACUACGUG
rnacentral:rRNA from 1 species